rnacentral:sRNA from 1 species
GAAUUCGCCCUUGGAAGGAGAAGUCGUAACAAGGUUUCCGUAGGUGAACCUGCGGAAGGAUCAUUGUCGAAACCUGCAGAGCAGAACGACCCGUGGACAUGUAAUAACAUCUAGGUGUCUUUGGUUUUGUGCUUUUGUUCGAUUCUUUGGAUGCCUUGUUGAUGUUUGUCCUUUGUUAGCCCCUUGGGUUCUAAGGACAUUGCAUUGACAGAAUAACAACCCCCGGCACAAUAUGUGCCAAGGAAAAUUAAACAUAAGAAGGGCUUUUACCAUGCUUCCCCGUUUGCGGGGUUUGUAUUGGAUAUGGCUUCUUUAUAAUCACAAAUGACUCUCGGCAACGGAUAUCUCGGCUCACGCAUCGAUGAAGAACGUAGCAAAAUGCGAUACUUGGUGUGAAUUGCAGAAUCCCGUGAACCAUCGAGUUUUUGAACGCAAGUUGCGCCCAAUGCCUUUUGGCUGAGGGCACGUCUGCCUGGGCGUCACACAUUGUGUGCUUCCACCACAAUUCCUCAAUAGGGAUGCUUGGAUGGGGGCGGAGAUUGGUCUCCCGUUCCUAUGGUGCGGUUGGCUAAAAUGUGAGUCUCCUUUGAUGGAUGCACGAUUAGUGGUGGUUGACAAGACCCUCUUAUGAAUUGUGUGUUUUAAGGAGUGAGGAAAAUCUUUUUAGUUACCCAUAUAUCGUCCUGUGAGGAUGAUUCGAUUGCGACCCCAGGUCAGGCGGGACUACCCGCUGAGUUUAAGCAUAUCAAUAAGCGGAGGAAAGGGCGAA